rnacentral:rRNA from 1 species
UACGGAGGGUGCGAGCGUUGUUCGGAAUCACUGGGCGUAAAGCGCGUGUAGGCGGCCCAUUAAGUCUGAUGUGAAAGCCCGGGGCUCACCCCCGGAAGUGCAUUGGAAACUGAUGGACUCGAGUCCCGGAGAGGAGAGUGGAAUUCCUGGUGUAGCGGUGAAAUGCGUAGAUAUCAGGAGGAACACCGGUGGCGAAGGCGGCUCUCUGGGCCUUACCUGACGCUGAGGCGCGAAAGUGUGGGGAGCGAACAGG